rnacentral:rRNA from 1 species
ACGAACGCUGGCGGCGUGCUUAACACAUGCAAGUCGCACGGAAAGGCCCUGCUUUUGUGGGGUGCUCGAGUGGCGAACGGGUGAGUAACACGUGAGUAACCUGCCCUUGACUUUGGGAUAACUUCAGGAAACUGGGGCUAAUACCGGAUAGGAGCUCCUGCUGCAUGGUGGGGGUUGGAAAGUUUCGGCGGUUGGGGAUGGACUCGCGGCUUAUCAGCUUGUUGGUGGGGUAGUGGCUUACCAAGGCUUUGACGGGUAGCCGGCCUGAGAGGGUGACCGGCCACAUUGGGACUGAGAUACGGCCCAGACUCCUACGGGAGGCAGCAGUGGGGAAUAUUGCACAAUGGGCGGAAGCCUGAUGCAGCAACGCCGCGUGCGGGAUGAUGGCCUUCGGGUUGUAAACCGCUUUCGCCUGUGACGAAGCGUGAGUGACGGUAAUGGGUAAAGAAGCACCGGCUAACUACGUG